GACGAACGCUGGCGGCGUGCUUAACACAUGCAAGUCGAACGCUGAAGCCUAGCUUGCUGGGUGGAUGAGUGGCGAACGGGUGAGUAACACGUGAGUAACCUGCCCUCUUCUUUGGGAUAACGCCCGGAAACGGGUGCUAAUACUGGAUAUUCACUGAUCUUCGCAUGGGGGUUGGUGGAAAGGUUUUUUCUGGUGGGGGAUGGGCUCGCGGCCUAUCAGCUUGUUGGUGGGGUGAUGGCCUACCAAGGCUUUGACGGGUAGCCGGCCUGAGAGGGUGACCGGUCACAUUGGGACUGAGAUACGGCCCAGACUCCUACGGGAGGCAGCAGUGGGGAAUAUUGCACAAUGGGCGAAAGCCUGAUGCAGCGACGCCGCGUGAGGGAUGGAGGCCUUCGGGUUGUAAACCUCUUUCGCUCAUGGUCAAGCCGCAACUUAGGGUUGUGGUGAGGGUAGUGGGUAAAGAAGCGCCGGCUAACUACGUGCCAACAGCCGCGGUAAUUCGUAGGGCGCGAGCGUUGUCCGGAAUUAUUGGGCGUAAAGGGCUUGUAGGCGGUUGGUCGCGUCUGCCGUGAAAUCCUCUGGCUUAACUGGGGGCGUGCGGUGGGUACGGGCUGACUUGAGUGCGGUAGGGGAGACUGGAACUCCUGGUGUAGCGGUGGAAUGCGCAGAUAUCAGGAAGAACACCGGUGGCGAAGGCGGGUCUCUGGGCCGUUACUGACGCUGAGGAGCGAAAGCGUGGGGAGCGAACAGG
rnacentral:rRNA from 1 species